UGAAGCGCUAGUAUUUAUAUUGAGUAUUUAUAUGCUCGGGAAGAGCUGAACUGAAAGAGGGUAAACAAGUCUGACAAUUGCGACUCUGAAGUUCAUCGAAACUGCAGCGUACAACACCAAAGACUAAUGGUCUGACUGCUGGUAAAAGCUUGCGCCUACGUGGUGAGGAAGAUCAGGGCUUCUGUUUCUGAGGGAGAGCAGGAAGAGAAACCCAUCCGUACACCAUGUAGUGCAAAAGCUCAAAGCAAAUCGGGGCGAAGAUCAAAGUCUUCCUCAACUGCUGUCCUGAACCUGGGACACGAUGAAGGAGUCGACGGCGAUGUGGCAGCAGCAGCAGCAGGGACGUCUUCAGGGGCACCUGUGCAGAACUGUGGCUCCUGACGUUAAAUUUCUGACUGGAUGCUGGGACUGUGGUCAACUCACUCUCAAAAGAUAAUUUAUAUAUUGGAAUUAUGUUGGAUGCUUCACUGCAAUGAAGGAACCACAUUAAUUGGAUGGCUGGUGUUGUUUUUGACACAAAUCUAUAAA